rnacentral:lncRNA from 1 species
GUCUUAAACUCCUGAGCUCAAAUGAUUCUCCCGUCUUGGCCUCCCAAAGUGCUGGGAUUACAGGCACCCACCACCAUGCCCAGCUAAUUUUUGUAUUUUUAGUAAAGAUGAGGUUUCACCAUGUUGGCCAGGCUGGUCUCAAACUCCUGACCUCAAAUGAUUGGCCUGCCUUGGCCUCCCAAAGUGCUGGGAUUACAGGCAUGAGCUAUUGCGCCCGGCAAUAUGAAUGAAUGUUUUUAAUACCAUUGAAUUACACACCUAAAAUUGGUUAAAAUGGUAAAAAAUUUUAUGUUAUGUAUAACUUACCACAAUAAUUUAAAAAAUAUUGUGAAGCGCCUGCCUCAUGUGAGGUCUUCUAAUAAGAGGGGCUGUUCUCCUUCUCAAGAGCGCUCGCGGGCAUUGGGAGUUUCUUAUUCUCAAAUGUCCACAUCCCAAGGCCUACCCCGUCCCUGUCAGUGUCAGAAGUUAGCAGAGCAGAACUGCUAGAUGUGCUCACUCCAUCUCCUCCAUGGUUGGCCCACCCUUUCGAUCAGAUCCUGGAAUUGGCUUUCAGCACAGCCUUCCAGCUGGCUGUGAUAAAUGAGAGUGGCUUAAACCCUGUCAUCAGGGUUUCACAGCUUGCCCUGAACCGUAGCCUCUCAUUUUCUCCUUGCAAAUCUUCUAAGGCAGCUAAGAGAAGCCAAUUAACUUCACAAUCCACAUAAUUAGCAUUGCCCCAAACCUUUCAAGUGCUGGAAUGCUGGCGUCCACUAGUGCCUCAUUUCUUUCUAAACCUCAUUCCACAUGGCAGGGGAAGGUCUUAGGAAUUGUGGAGCUGUGGCGUUCUAAGGGUUCUCACUGCCUACCUAUCACCAGCAAGGGAGUCCUUGUUGCCAUCCAUCCCUAGGGGGUAAUUUUGUUCCCUGAGGCUGCUUUCUAGGGACUUCUGGUCGCUUGUUUUAUCCUGGACCAGACCUGAAAGCAGAGCCUGAAAUAAGGCCUUCUAUGCACAUCAUUUAUGUAGGAGGUGGCCCUAGGAAGCAGGCCCAAUGCGCCAUGGGAAAAACCAGUACCAGGGUGUUUUGCUGAGUUGAGCACUGUGGUGGGCAGCUGGACAUGAGCCCACUGGAAUCUUCUGAAGAGCCCAAGAGCCUCUUCUCAGUAUUGUCCACUUGAGGAUUGAUAGUGAGAGGCAUUUAUCCACUGGUGUCCAACGCUCACUGGUUGAGGAUCACCCCAGAAAGCGACACCUCCCCCACUUCUAGACUAGCAUGUGGGUAUUCCAAGCAGGCUUACCUCAGUGUCUCACCCCAGGCACUGCAAACACCCCAGGACAGAAAGUGAACAUGUGUAUUGUGCAAUUGAAGCAAGACACUAUCAGUGCAAAGUGAGUAGACCCUCAGAUGCUGCUGGGUCAGAGGGAAGGCCCAGGGAUAUGACACAGGACACAGAGGUGGCAGAUACACCACCUCCCAACAUUUCCUCUAUCACAGCAACUAGAACAAUGGCAACAAUAGGGGUGGGUGUGGUGGCUCACGCCUAUAAUCCCAAUACCCUGGGAGGCCAAGGCAGAAGGAUUGCUUGAGCCCAGGAGUUCAAGACUAGCCUGGGCAACUUGGCGAAACCCUGUCUCUACAAACAUAUUUGUAUGUGAUUGAACAAGUAGAACAAUGGAACGGAAAGUCCAGAUGUAGUUCUAAAUAUGUACAGGAACUUAGUAUAGGAUAAAUAUGGCAUCUUAAAUCAAUGGGGAAAAGAUGGAUUAUUCAACAUAUUGUAAAAACUUGAGAAUCACAUUAAAAAAGUUGGACUCCUACCUCAUUCUUUACAACAAAAUUAAUUCUGAUAGAUGUAGUCACAGAAGAGCUAGAAGAAUAUGCAGGGGAUUUAAAAAUAAUCUUGAAGUGGGGAGGACUUUUAUAGGUAUGACUCACAACCCAGAAAACAUAAAGGAUUGUUAAAUUUAAUUAGAUAAAUCAUUUAAUUAGAUGAAACAUUUAAAAAUUACAUUUAGAAAUCAUAAACUAAAUCCAAAGAAUAACUAGGGGCCGGGCGCAGUGGCUCACGUCUGUAAUCCCAUGGGGCAGGUGGAUCACCUGAGGUUGGGAGUUUGAGACCAGCCUGUCCAACACGGUGAAACCCCGUCUCUACUAAAAAUACAAAAAUUAGUUGGUGUGGUGGCACAUACCUGUAGUCCCUGCUACUGGGGAGGCUGAGGCAUGAGAAUUGCUUGAACCUGGGAGGUGGAGGUUGCAGUGAGCCAAGAUCGCGCCACUGCAUUCCAGCCUGGGCGACAGAGCAAGACUCCAUCUCAAAAAAAAAAAAAAAAAAAAAAAAAAAAAAAAGAAUAACUAGGGAGAAAACACCAUGAUGUGUUGCAUAAUAACAUUUCAGUCAUUCAUGGACCAAAUAUAAAAUGGGGUCCCAAAAAACUAUAAUACCGUGUUUUUACUGUACCUUUUCUAUGUUUAGACACAUUUAGAUACACAAAUACUUACCAUUGUGCUACAAUUGCCUAGUGUUCAGUAGCAUGCUGUACAGGUUUAUCCCUAGGAAGAAUAGACUAUCCCACACACCCUAGGCGUGUAGCAGGCUAUGCCAUCUAGGUUUGUGUGAGUACACUCUAUGCUGUUCAAACAGUGACCUCCACUGUUAGGUGAAGCAUGACUGUAUUUUGAGCCCAGGUCUCAGAUAUUGUAUGAAGUUUCAUAAUAUUAUGAGCUUUUACAAAUCAUUAAGAGAAAGACCAAUAAUCCAGUAGAAAACUGGGAAAAGGUGGCAUCUGCAGGGUAACACCAGGGCAGCACAGAAAUCUUGCUGGGAUGAGGAGCUGCAAACAUGUGUGGUCGACUUUUUGGCCUUCUGCCUCUUCUACUCUCAGGGAUGGGGGAUUACAACUAAAGAAGUUGUCUUUUGGCCGGGCGUGGUGGCUCACGCCUGUAAUCCCAGCACUUUGGGAGGCCGAGGCGGGUGGAUCACAAGGUCAGGAGAUCAAGACCAUCCUGGCUAACACGAUGAAACCCCGUCUCUACUAAAAAAUUCAAAAACAUUGGCCGGGCGAGGUGGCGGGCACCUGUAGUCCCAGCUACUCGGGAGGCUGAGGCAGAAGAAUUGUGUGAACCCGGGAGGCGGAGCUUGCAGUGAGCCCAGAUCGCGCCACUGCACUCCAGCCUGGGCGACAGAGGAAGGCUCCGUCUCAAAAAAAAAAAAAAAAGAAGAAGUUAUCUUUUCUCAGUGUUGCUUCUCCCUAAGGAUUUAAAGGGGAGACCUGGCCAGAGGAAUCAUCAACAGUGGAUUUGUGAUGACUGGAGUUCAUUUCCUUCUUUCUCAACUGUCCUGGAAGGAAAUGGACUAGUGCCUUACCUCUGACUCUUCCGCAGCACACACCCACCACCAGAGACAGUAACUGAGAUCUGCAGUAGCACAGAAACUUACAGGUUAGAAAAAUUAGACACCUAAGGAUUUCAUGACUCCAGACCUGUUUCCUUAGCAUAAUACCACACCAGUAGGAGAAAUACAACUUACGAAAUUUCUUUGUAAAUAAAUUCUAUAACAUUUUGGGUAAAAAUUUAUCAUAAAAAAAUUAUUAAAAGCAAUUGGGUUGGAAGGAAGUUCUGUCAAAAUACAAUCCAGGUGUGCAGUUCUCUGAUAAAUUUAGCAGUGGUUACUACUGAGGCAGUCUCAAAAAAAAGUGUAAAAGGACUUUAAGGGGUGAUGAAAAUUUUCUACAUUGCCUUUGUGGAGAUGGUUAUACAUUUGUCAAUACUCAUCAAUUUGUAC